CUGGCCCCGUCAGGCCGGAUGCAUGUGCCCUGCCGGCACGGGUCCCGCUCUCGGGGUUCCCUGCGGGCUUCCCCCGCCUCUCUCCUGGCCCCACUUCCGGGGCUGCCUUUUCUCUCUGCCGGGCGGCGUCUCCCGCCGGCAUCGCCCGGCCCCAGCUGGAUAUAAGCGCGGCUUACAAACCGCGCUGGCGGUCUCCCCGCGUGCGUGUCCCUGCUCGCUCUGGCCUCUGUAUGGGGUUUGCUGCUGAGCACACAGGGGGCCCCACUGUAUUCCUGUGGGAUGCUCCAUCCAACCCACCAUAGCAGCACUCAUGAGCCAAGCCUGGUACCUCGAGAAUAGAUCAUCAUUUGUAUUAAUGAGGAAGUAACAAUUAUCUGAAAUGCAUCAAAUCUGAAAAAAUACUGAACUACUCAGAUUAGAGUGGACCACUGAUGUUCCUUUUUCUAAGAUCUCCAAGGCGACUCCAAAGCUUCGGAGCUGCUUCGUCCAGAUUGAAGCGGGAACCCGGUCCAGAGCUCCAGAUCGGAUUGCUGGCAUCCGAAGUGGCUGGAUCUGAAGCCGGAUUGCAUAGCUGCCUACCUGCAGAGGCCUAUCAGUUAUAUAUCCAUGAUGUAAAGUCAGAACAAAAAAUAUCCAGGACCUUCCACCUCUAUGGCAAGAGAGGUUGCAUCCGGCGUGGGUGAAAGAAAAUGCUGAGGGACAUUUUGGGAAAGUUGGAUGACGAACUGGAAUACCAGGCAGGGAAGAAGUGGAACUGAAAGAGGGAGAGGAAGGUGGAAAGUGAGAGAGGGGUCACUCAGUUUCUCAGCCAUGAUUAGAGAUUGAGGGAGUAGGACAGAGCUCAACAGGAAGGCCUACUGAAGAGGCUGGUCACAUUUGCUGCUCCUAGCUAGUCAGAUAGUAGCCCUAGCUCCAACCCUUAGUCUAGCAACAACACUGGUCUUUAUCAUGUUACAUGAGCAAACAAUGCAGCCAUUGGAGAACUCUGGAGUCAGAUAGUCAAAGUACCACUCAAUAUAUCUAGCUAAAGUCCAUGCAUUUAAAGCUGCAAACAACUUACAAUAUGUUCUAGAAAAGGCACACAGGAUCAAAGGAAAGUAAGGCUGGAAGGGACCUCUUAAGGUCAUCUAGUCCAGUUCCCUGCUCAAGGCAGGGUUGUUCCUGACUAAACUGUCCCAGAUAAGUGUCUGUCUAACCUGCUCUUGAAAAUUUCCAGGGAUUGAGAAUCCAUAACUUCUCUUUUAAAAUGCUUGACCACCCUCACAGUCAGAAAGUUCCUCCUAGUCCCAACCUAAAGUUCCUCUGCUGCAGCUUGAGGCCAUUGCUCCUAUUCCUGUCCCCUACAGCUACAGAGAAUUGUCUAAUCUCCAUCCUCUUUCUAAUUGCCCUUCAGGUAUUAGAAGACAGUUAUCAAAUUGACCUUCAGGCUUCUCUUCUCCAAACUAAAUAACCCUAGUUCUUUCAGCCUUUCAACAAGUCGUGUUUCCCAGGCCUCCAAUUAUUUGUAUUGCUCUCUGCUAGACUCUUUUCAAUCUGUCCACAUCUUUCAUGAAACAUAGGGCCCAAAACUGGACAUAGAACUCCAGGUAAGGCCUCACCAAUGCCAAAAAGAACAGAAGAGUCAUUUCCCUUAAUAUUCAAGAGACACUCCUGUUAAAUAAAACCCCAGAUGAUGUUGUCUUUUUUUGCAACAAGAGCACUGUAAUAGGGACCCCUACCUCUAUUACGUAUAAAGAGGGUCCUGUAACUUUAAGGUUGCCAGCCCAGAGGAAGGCCAUACCUCCUUCUUGGAUUGUAAGAGGCAUGGCUACUAGGGCUAAGCAGCAAGAGAGGAAGCAGCCUAGAGGCAGAAGCUCUGCAAAUGAAACACCGGUGAGUAAGUGAGAAGCCACAAGCAGGUAGGCUCUGUUGGCAAGUCAGAACCAGGAAGGCUACAGUGUGGGCAAGCCAAUAUUAGGCACCCUGUUCCUCAGCUUUCUGAGGGCCUGUAACCAUUUGAAGAACAAGGUGUGGCAGGUGAGAUCACAGGCUCCCAGGUGGUUGGGAGAGCAAGCCAAGUCCCUCUCUGCAAGGGCCACAGCUCAAGGGUGGUUACAAGCACACUGUUGGCCCAUAUUCAGGUUAUGGUCUCCUGUAAACCCAGGUCCUUCUCUGUAGUUCUGCAGCCUAGCCAGUCAUUUUCCCAGUCUGUGUAUGUACAUACAAUUAUUUUGUCUCAAGUGCAGGACUUUGCACUUGUCCUUCUUGAAUUUCAUGAUUGAUUGCGGACCACUUCUCCAGUCUACUCAGGUCAUUCUGGAUCUUAGCCUUACCCUCUGGAUUUACAUGAAGUUAGAUGGAUUUGCAGACAUCCACAAAUUUGCUAAGCAUGCACUCAAUACCAUUGUCCAAAUUAUUAAUGAAGAUGUUGAGCCUUUGAUGACUACUCAUUCUGUAAGGUGGAUCAUCUUACUGUACUUUUUGUCUAGCCUGUAAUUUACUGAGUUAAUUAAUGAGACUGGCAUGGGAGACAGUGUGAAAAGCCUUGCUAAAAUCAAGGUAUAAUCAAUCAUCCACUGCUCCCCCCCCUCCCCCUGAGCCUGUAACCUUAUCAUAGAAGGAGAUCUUGUUGGUGAGGUAUGGCUUGUUCUUGGUUACUCCAUGCUAGAUGUUCCUGAUAACUUUGUUCUCCUCUGGGUGUUUCAACAUAGAUUCCUUGAGGACCUGCUCCAAGAUCUUUCCAAUUCUUGGGGUCAGACUCAAUGAUCUUUAAUUCCCCAGACCUUCCUUCUUCCUUUUUUUAAAGAUGGAAACUGUACUUGCCCUUUUCCAGUCAUUUGGGACCUCACCCAUCAUUCAGUGUAAAUACCAGUGAGAUCAGUGGUUGCACUAUAUAAAGGUUUGUUCUUGUUUGUUAUUUUAAUACUUCUUUAUCCUUAAUAAAGAACUAUUCAAAUAAUC